GACGAACGCUGGCGGCGUGCUUAACGCAUGCCAGUCGAGCGGUAAGGCUCCUUCGGGAGUACACGAGCGGCGCACGGGUGAGUAACACGUGAGUAAUCUGCCCUUCACUUCGGGAUAACCACCGGAAACGGUGGCUAAUACCGAAUACGACCAGUCUUCGCAUGAGGUGCUGGUGGAAAGUCUUUUCGGUGAAGGAUGUGCUCGCGGCCUAUCAGCUUGUUGGUGGGGUAAUGGCCUACCAAGGCUUCGACGGGUAGCCGGCCUGAGAGGGUGACCGGCCACACUGGGACUGAGACACGGCCCAGACUCCUACGGGAGGCAGCAGUGGGGAAUAUUGGACAAUGGGCGAAAGCCUGAUCCAGCAACGCCGCGUGAGGGAUGACGGCCUUCGGGUUGUAAACCUCGUUCAGUACCGACGAAGCGCCCUGUCGGGUGGUGACGGUAGGUACAGAAGAAGGACCGGCCAACUACGUG
rnacentral:rRNA from 1 species